ACUAACUGAUACCUUUUUGGGAUGGCCAGAGGUAUUUCCCUGUAGGACUCAUAAGACUCGGGAAGUAACGAGAAUGCUGUUACAUGAAUUAAUUCCAAGGUUCGGGGUUCCUGUAGCAAUCUCAUCAGAUCGAGGCCCUCAUUUUUGCCAAGGUGGUCCAACAAACAAGCACGUUAUUGGGAACUGAUUGGCAAUUGCACACACCUUACAGACCGCAGUCAAGCGGACAGGUGGAAAAAUGAAUCACCUGAUCAAACUACAGGUAGUAAAACUUGGCCAAGAGGCUGGGAUUCCCUGGCCGCAGGCACUGCCUUUGGCACUUCUGAGAAUUCAGACUAAACCCCAAACCAAGGAAGGAUUAAUCCCAUAUGAGAUUCUUCAUGGGCGACCUUAUACUGUCCAAAAGGCAAUCUCUAUGCAGGUUGGGGAUAAGGUGUUGAGUGAAUAUAUGGUCAGCUUGGCGAAGCAAUUAAAGAAAACUGAACAAACAGUAUUCGGUGCCAGGGCACGAGGCCUAGAUGGUCCGGUGCAUGAUGUAUUGCCAGGAGACUAUGUUUAUGUUGAAUCUCUCUCAGAUUGACCUCUGGAAGCAAAGUGGGGAGGACCCUACCAAGUUCUCCUGACCACCCGUACCACGGCCAAGGUAGAGGGACUUACACCGUGGAUACAUCAUACCCGCCUGAAGAAAGCACCAGGACCACAGUGAACAGCAGAAGAGAGAGGGCCACUGAAAAUCAGGAUGCGAAAGCAUGUACAAGUGUUUGAUAAUAGUCAGUAUGAUUGGAGCAGUAGCCACAGCUUGGCAAGAGAAGAGCUACUUAAAAAUAACUGAGAAAAUUGGCCAGGCUCUCAACAAAUCUUGUUGGAUUUGCACUGCCCUCCCUAGAGGGGAGGGAAAGGUGCCAUUUUAUGGGAUAGUGACACUAAAUUGGACCAUUCCAGAUUGGGUAGAGCACGGAAAGUGUAAGUUUGGGAUAGAAGACAGCCACAAAAGGGACCUAAGUUUGAUUUACUCGUUAUUAAGUGUACUAGAUCUACCUUUGUAGACAGAAAAACUGAUGGUAAAGGUGGGGUGGGGGUUGGAUGACGGAACUUGACAGGUAUAGGAUGUAGUGGGGAAUAUGGAAAUUCUGGGGCAGUAUGAGGGAUCAGUGAAGCUAGAAGGUGGAACCAUGGUGAGGGGUGUGAUCCUAGAACCGAUAAGGAGUCACACUGGGUCUCAGAUAAGAACGUACUCGGAAUUGUAGAGAUGGGAGCAUCAUUCACUCAUCAGGAAAAUACGGCCAGGCCACGGAGGUGAUCAGAUGGCUACAGGGCAAGCUGAAACCGGUUUGAAGGAUGUCCCCCCCUUCGGGGUCAGAAGUUUGCAGCGAGGAAGACUACGAGCCUUCAUCAUCCCGACCUACU
ensembl:lncRNA